rnacentral:tRNA from 1 species
CCUGGUGGCUCAGAUGGUAAAGAAUCUGCCUGCAAUGCAGGAGACCCAGGUUCGAUCCCUGGGUCCAGAA